rnacentral:rRNA from 1 species
GACAGAGGGUGCAAACGUUGUUCGGAAUUACUGGGCGUAAAGCGUGCGUAGGCGGUUUGCUAAGACAGGUGUGAAAUCCCCGGGCUUAACCUGGGAACUGCGCUUGUAACUGGCAAGCUAGAGUGUGGCAGAGGGGGGUGGAAUUCCACGUGUAGCAGUGAAAUGCGUAGAGAUGUGGAGGAACACCGAUGGCGAAGGCAGCCCCCUGGGCUAACACUGACGCUCAUGCACGAAAGCGUGGGGAGCAAACAGG